AGAAGAUUAAAGGAACACAUCUGCCUUGAAAACAGAAAACAGGACGUUCAACUCGUCCAUCUUCUC
rnacentral:tRNA from 1 species